AGUUUGAUCAUGGCUCAGAGCGAACGCUGGCGGCAGGCCUAACACAUGCAAGUCGAACGGACCCUUCGGGGUUAGUGGCGGACGGGUGAGUAACACGUGGGAACGUGCCUUUAGGUUCGGAAUAGCUCCUGGAAACGGGUGGUAAUGCCGAAUGUGCCCUUCGGGGGAAAGAUUUAUCGCCUUUAGAGCGGCCCGCGUCUGAUUAGCUAGUUGGUGAGGUAAUGGCUCACCAAGGCGACGAUCAGUAGCUGGUCUGAGAGGAUGACCAGCCACAUUGGGACUGAGACACGGCCCAAACUCCUACGGGAGGCAGCAGUGGGGAAUCUUGCGCAAUGGGCGAAAGCCUGACGCAGCCAUGCCGCGUGAAUGAUGAAGGUCUUAGGAUUGUAAAAUUCUUUCACCGGGGACGAUAAUGACGGUACCAGGAGAAGAAGCCCCGGCUAACUUCGUGCCAGCAGCCGCGGUAAUACGAAGGGGGCUAGCGUUGCUCGGAAUUACUGGGCGUAAAGGGCGCGUAGGCGGAUCGUUAAGUCAGAGGUGAAAUCCCGGAGCUCAACUUCGGAACUGCCUUUGAUACUGGCGAUCUUGAGUGUGAGAGAGGUAUGUGGAACUCCGAGUGUAGAGGUGAAAUUCGUAGAUAUUCGGAAGAACACCAGUGGCGAAAGCGACAUACUGGCUCAUUACUGACGCUGAGGCGCGAAAGCGUGGGGAGCAAACAGGAUUAGAUACCCUGGUAGUCCACGCCGUAAACGAUGAUUGCUAGUUGUCGGGCUGCAUGCAGUUCGGUGA
rnacentral:rRNA from 1 species